rnacentral:tRNA from 3 species
GGGGAUAUAGCUCAGUUGGGAGAGUGCUUGAAUGGCAUUCAAGAGGCCAGGGGUUCGAGACCCCUUAUCUCCA